rnacentral:rRNA from 1 species
CCUACGGGUGGCAGCAGUGGGGGAUAUUGCACAAUGGGGGAAACCCUGAUGCAGCGACGCCGCGUGUGGGAAGACGGUCCUCUGGAUUGUAAACCACUGUCCCCAGGGACGAAGAUGACGGUACCUGGGGAGGCCGCUCCGGCUAACUACGUGCCAGCAGCCGCGGUACUACGUAGGGAGCGAGCGUUGUCCGGAAUUACUGGGUGUAAAGGGAGCGUAGGCGGGACUGCAAGUUGGGUGUCAACUCUACUGGCUCAACCGGUAGCCGCACUCAAAACUGCAGUUCUUGAGUGAAGUAGAGGCAGGCGGAAUUCCUAGUGUAGCGGUGAAAUGCGUAGAUAUUAGGAGGAACACCAGUGGCGAAGGCGGCCUGCUGGGCUUUGACUGACGCUGAGGCUCGAAAGUGUGGGGAGCAAACAGGAUUAGAUACCCUUGUAGUC